GAAGCUCUGCCGGGGAGAGGGAGGCGCAGCGCAGUGCCGGAGCUCUUCUCCUCUCCUCUCAACCUGCCCAUAUCUGCAGAGGGUUUCUGCAGCAGAAAACACCGCUGUGAGCUUUUGAGGGAAAUGCAGCUUAGAAUAAAAAUAAUCUCCGAAACUGUGCAGAGGACAACGACAGUUCAAGGCGAAGCUCUGUACCUGGAUGGAAUUCCAGGGCAUGGAGAGGUGGACAGAUCUCCCCAUAAGCAGCUGCCUAACAGCAAGCUGCUGCCUAACACUGACCUGGUGCUGAAAACAAUCAUCAUCCCAACUGACAGAACAAUUAGCGUUGUCAGCAGAGAAAAUAGUAAGUGAACCAACCAAAGGCCAGUGUGUUUAUUUUCCCACUCAGAGACAUCGUCUUCCCAGGUGGGGACUCAGAAAACAUUCCUGCUGAAGUUGACACGGUUUUUACUUCAGUGAGGGACUGGUCUGUUCUGAGCAGGAAAUUAACCCAAACUUUAAGAGAAAGCAAUUCAAGCUGUACAUGGGGCAUGGGGACGUGCCUCUGUACCCACACAGAGGCUAUUCUCCCUCUUUUGAGACAAUUUACUUUCCCUAACUGUUCUUUUUCCUGUCUGAACACAAAGCUGAUAAAACAGUGUCUGUAAGGUUAGAAAAGUUGCGUGCUGUCAUAUUCUGCAAGAGAAGACUUACAAAUAACACCACACAACCAUUUAACCAAACUGCAAAAUGAACUCAGAAUUGUUACGCUGUCUAAACAUCCUCUCUAACUUGUCUGCAGUUAACAAAUGCUGCUUUGGAUAAACUUAAUACUGCAACAGUAGGUAGCUUACUUUCUGCUUGUAAAUUGCACCUUUUACACUGAAACUGACAUACACUUCUGCUCUGAUCCAAUAGAAAAAGUUCUCUUUCUGUCACUGCCCACACCAUUUCUGAAACUAUUUCUGUAAGAUGGUAUCAUUAGAUGUGAUCACUGAAAUGGCACAGUGCACUGCAAAUAAAAGAGUUGGAACUGCUUUUUGUGUCA
rnacentral:lncRNA from 1 species